GCGUAUUUUGCUCAGGCGGAGCUCGACCGCACGUUUCUGAAAUGAUUGCAUUUAUCAAAGAGCCCCGGGAAGUGUGGGGGAUCGAGCGACCUGCCGUGUUUUACAGAUCGCCCC
rnacentral:ncRNA from 1 species